rnacentral:lncRNA from 1 species
UUUUUUCUUUUUCAGACCAAACGCCGUCCCUGCUGUUUGUCACCAAUCCACAUACCAGUGCAGGCAGCCAAGUGGUUUCCUUCCCCAGGGUGAGAUGUCUGAGCAACUAGAAGAGAGCAGAGCACAGUAUUCAAGUGCUCCAAAGGUCUGAAAAGACACUUUCUAAACUGAGAUUCCCUAAAUUCAACUCUGCUUAAGAACAGCUCUGUGUUGUUUAUUAGAGUUCAGACUCUCAGACUACUUUCAAGUCUUUUUUUUUUUUUUGGGGGGGGGGGUCUGGCUUCACCUAAUAUAUAAUCAUUUAAUAUUGUUGUAGCAUGUUCAAUUUCACUUCCCAACCAAACCAGAGGGCAUGAAAAUGCUUACUAAGGUAUAUAGAACACAUGGGAAGCAAUGUAGUAAACCUUACUGGUGCUCAGAACUUGUGAAUCAAAUUAAAUAUCCUUAACAAUAAAACAGGAAGACUGUUAUUAUCUCCUGUUACCUAGGGUACUGAAGCAUGGAGAAGUUAUAUGCUCCAAGGUGCACAGAUGGGAUUCAAAAUCAAGAGCCCUGAGUUCUAUCAGUCUAUUCAACCUUAUUUCCAACUACUGGCAUGGUGGACCCUUGGUUCAGUCAGGCUGGCCACCCAUUGUUCAUCUCACAUACCCUGUUAACUCCUACUCCAAUGGUAUUGCCCAGUCAUUCAAUGCCCUCCUUCUGCCUCUUUAAAUUGUAUUUGCCAGUCAAAUUCUAUCCACUGGUCAAGGCCAAGUUCAAAUCCUAUUUUGCCCACAAAGCUGUUAUUUAUUAUUCUUGGGUUUAUCGAUCUUUCUCUCUCAUUGUUCCACAAUGUUCACUAUUACGUAGAACAUCACGGGUCUCUAAUUGUUUCUGAGGUUUCUUUUUCAAUCCCUUCUUCACCUCUCAAUUCCUUUCUGACAGAAAUAUGUUUUUUUUUUCUCUCUCUCUCUCUCUGUCUUUCCCGGUCUGCCUACCAGAGUGCCAAGAACAACACUAUCUCUCAUUAAAUAGCUUCUGAUACAUUAAUUGAUACACAACUGUGCUUUGUAGAGCUAGGAUGCCACUUUUCAAUUUGAUAAAAUUUGAAAGUCUAAUGUAACAAAAGCUUUAUCCUUUUAACUGAAGAAAUUAUAAACCUGUUUCUGCCUAUUUCAGAUGUCCCUAGAAAACAAUCAAGUCAGAUCGAUGACAAAACUAUUUAACUGGAGAAGCACAUUAUGAUGAAGAAGAACCUGAUGUGGGGGUGAAGAGGGUGAGCAAGUAUAUAAUUGUAGUAUUGGGGAAACUAUCAUAAAAUUAAUCAUUAUGGGUUUUUUGGCUGUUAUGAGCCUUUGUCUGAUAAGUUUUUUUUUUCAUUUUCUGAGUUAACUAAUGCUUUCUUAUUUGAAAGAUAAGGAAAUAAGUGGGAACUGGUGGCCAGAAGAUGCGUGAGCUAGCUCACCUUAGAUGGGCUACUGGUCAGCAGUGUGUGACCUCUGCAAAUUAUUUAAUCAUGCUGUGCCUCAGUUCCCUGCCUACACAGGAUGGAACAUAUCUCCAAGUUCCUUGCAAUGGCUCAAUUAGAAUAUGACAGAGAGAAAGAGCAAACAAGAAUAUUUGGCCCAUGGUGGGAUUAGUUUUUUGGAGCAUACUAGAAAGAAUCUAGAGAACUCAGGUAAAAUUAGCCAAGUUCAUAUUCUAAUCCACAGUAUAGAAAAGGGUAGCUCUGAAAAACUAAGUUCAUAUGCAAAAGCAUAAUCAAAUUUAUAUUUUCCCAAAGUAUCCCCGUUAGACAAAAUUAUUAAUAACUAUGUGUACCAAUAACCUAUCAUUUCUGCCAAAAUGUUGUUAGUCAUCAUUCAUACUUGCCUACAUGACCAAAUUGUUGUAUGGACUCAAUUUGAUAUAGGUUAAUUCAGUCUGUGUUGCAUGAUGUCUUCAAUUCACAGGUAGUUUGAAUUGAAUCCUGAUACUAGUUGAAGAGCAGAGAUCUAUCAAUGAAGAGACUUAGGAGCUAGAACCUGAAGGGGCCUUUUUGCAUAUUUCCUUAUUGGAACUGAUUUCAGUAAGCUUCUCUGUGUGUUCCUUUCCUUAUUUAUUCUUCUCAUUUUAUUUAAUUUUAUUUGUGGUGCUGGGGAUUGAACUCAGGGCCUCAUACAUGUCAGGCAAGUGCUGUACCACUUAGAUUAUCCCAGCCCUCCUUUAUUUAUUCUUAGGUAUUGAAUAGUUUGAUAUUAUUCACUUUCUAUCCAGGUUUUUGCUGAGGAAAAUAAUAUAGUAGAAAUGAAAAGGAUGCUAUUAAUUCAAAUAAAAUAUUAUGUCAGAUUUGCUUUGUUGUACACCUGAAUUAAUGUUUCUAAAAGGUUUUGCAAAGUUAGUAGAACAUGUGGAGACAAGAAUUCAGGCCUUGUUGAGAAUCCAAGUUGAUCCCUACCACCCUUUACUAGUUAAAGGACCUCACAAAAUCCUAGAGCUUGGAAGAAUCCAUUGCCCUAUCCAUAAUACAUUUUUAGAUGAUGUGGUACAGACUCUGGGAAAACAGACAGCUAAUCACAUCUCAGCAAAAACCAAAUUCAUUAGAACAUUUACUUAAAAUAGGAAUGUAUAACAAAUCUCUGACAUGGAAAUAUGAAAAUAAUUUCAUAUCAGGCAGGGAUCCUCAACCAGGUUUCGUGCUAGCUGAAACCUGGAUAUCCAUGGAUGAGUUACAAAGAUCUUGAAAUUAUAAGCCAAGUGAACAUGUGUAUAUUGUUCUCAAGAGAAAUCCACAACUUUCUUCACAUUCCUUUAUGACUCCAGAAAGGUUAAAAACAACUGAUACAAAAACAAGUUAUUUUAAAUGAACUUAAAAAAAAAAAAAGAUACACAUUCACUGAAGUCAAAUGUCACACUGGUUACAACAUGGAUAGUAUAUAAUAAUUAUCAGUAUUCAGAAUGAUGGCCUUGAGACACGAUGAAAGCCUCAUGUCAAAGAAAUUUACUUAACUGACAAUUCGAAAAUAUAGCAGCCUAUUCAAAUUAUUUGAAUACUGAAUUGAAAUGAGGUUUCCGUUUUUGUCCAAGCGGGUUGGACAAUCCUCUGUGUGCUAAGCAAGGUAGAUUCAUGUAGGAAAAUAAUCAUUGUUUCAAGGAGUAGUUAGGAGUCCACUGCAGCUGAGGUGGCAAAGAAUGAGGAGGAAGAACUGGAGGGAUAUUUGGCAGGGGACUGGAAUUCACAGACUUUCAUGUCUGGUUUAGGCAACUGAGUUAAAUGUUAUUAAAGAGAUAAAAAAAAAAAAAAGAUUAAGAAAAUAAUGAAUUUGGUUUGAUAUACGUUGGCUUUAAAGUCCUUUGGAACAGCCCAAUUCCACCAGCCCUGGGAAAAAUUAAGAACAGAUUUGUGGCUGGAGAAAUUUAUUUGGAAUCAGCAAGCAGUGAAUUGGGGAUGGGUUAGGCUGGUAAGACACGUGGCAAAAAAAAAUUAUGAACAUAAAGGACUUAGAGUCUGGAGUAAAGUUGCAGUUAUUUGAAUGAGAUCUAAUUUGCAAAAUGUGAAAUUAUAUAACACCCAAGGCAAAACAGUAUUAGUGAUUUUAAGUAUUGGUAGACAGCUGUACUGUAGCAUACAUUUCAGAAAAGAACAAUCCAUCUCAGAAUUCUACUUCCCCAUGAGGUUUUUCUGGACUUCUUUCAAGACACAGUUUUCCUUUUGAGAUACCACUUUCCCUGCCUGGGUACAGAAGGGAGAAAGAGUUUUCCUUGGCAACCAGGUUCAACUGGAAAAAAAUAAUCAAGAUGUCACCUGAUGCCACAAGCUACAGACUAUGUUUUCAUCUCCGUGGACCUGCCAGUUGCUGAAGCAGCAGAGGAAACUCAGUGUCAUGGAAAGAACACUAAACUUAGAGUCAGAACCCUCGAGGGUGAGUCUCAUUUCUGCCUCUCGCUGCAAUUGCAACGGUGGCCAUUCACCCAACUUCUCCACAUCUGGAUUUCUUCUGUAGUCCCUGCCCUAUUGUCACUGGGUCAUGAUUCCUAUAGCACUGUUUUGGAAAUUCCCAAAGGGCUGGCAUAAGGGGGAGUAACCACAGCUUCAAAAGUUAUCUCUUCUCUGAACUCCUCCACAGUGACACCUCACUGCAUCCCCAGUGAAAGCCCCGUAUGGCGGACCCCUCUUUGUCUCCACUGCCAUCAACAUUCCUAUAGUACACUUAGAUCAAUGAGGCUGUACUCACACUUGAAUUUUCCUUACUCUGUCCACUGCUCAGAGGUCUUGGCUGCCUUUACUGUAACAGAUGUUUUAGUUAUCUUUUGACUUGUAGAGCCCAGCAUACAGUAGAUGCACUGUAAGCGCUAAAUGAAUAAACAAUUAUCAGAGAACACUUGCCUGCACAUGUUCCCAUUUUGAGAAAAUGCUUUAGGUAAGCUGAAAAAUGGGAAGUGCUGGGCCAGCCUUACUGAUAGGCAAUAGACCAGAGUGCUUUGCUCAUAAAAUUUCUACAUUACUGUGUAUUGGCCUAUAAGUUCCCUUAUAAUUUCUUAUAAGGGAAUAAAGGCCUUCUUUUAUCAGACUUAAGCUUGAAAUGAAAAUCCUAUUAUCACUUCUUCCAAAAAAUGUUUACACUGGUUUUAUUCGACACUGAUAUAAACAUGCUUCAUUUCAGAUUUUGCCAGAAAGCUGAGGAAAGAAAAUGGGAAAAAAAUACCAUAAACCCAUAGGAAAAUUCAAUGACUGUGAAUAUCUGGUGGAAAAGACACAGAAGGCACUCCGAAUGUCCUGUUUUCAAAUUCCUGAAGAAUUUUCUUUAGCCUUCUAGGAUUAUGUAUUUUACCUUCAAAAUCAAAUGUGUGAUCUUUAAGUAUCAGGGUUUGGGGGAGGUUUAAACGAGAAAAUGCAUAUGAUGGUACCAUGCUUUGUCAAAGUAAACAGCUGAUUUAAAAAAAAAAAAAGAAAAGAAAAUUCUCCUCCGGGUUCAUCAGUUUGUAACCAUAAUAAAC